ensembl:lncRNA
AAAGGAUGUCUCUGAAAUGCUUCAGACACUUCUCUGUAUAUGGAAAAUUUCACUAUUACUUGCAGGAACAGAGCCUUUACCAGUCUGGGAACAACCUGGCUUUCUUCUGUGUACUGAAGGGCUUUCUAGGGACUUUGCUGCUUCUUCCUCCUUUUGUCAGGUUUUGGUCUGCUCGUAAGCAAGCUAGGAUUUUGUCAGCUGUCCCAAGUACCCUCUGAAGGAUUCUUUGUCUGCAGAACUGCUGGGCGCCUGUCAUGCCAGUGGAGACAGAGGUUGUGUGUGCAUCUUGGAAGAAAGAAACUUAUGAACUUCAAUGGAGAGAGAGUGAACUUCUAUAUGGAAAACAAAAUUGCAGCUGUAAAGUUCACGGGCAAGCUGUGUCUCAGAAAUAUAAUGAUAAACAAGCUUCCUUCAACGAUUCUGGGCUGCGACUUCUCAUGUUGCAGAUCUGAAAUCAUGAAUUACCAGCCAGCUGGAACAGCAGGAGAAGGAAAGUUCAUACAUACCCUGAGCUCCAGUUAGUCACUGUGAGAAGUGCACAGGAGCUCCGCUGUUUCCGUCUAAUGCUGGCAGAGAAA